GAUGAACGCUGGCGGCGUGCCUAAUACAUGCAAGUCGAGCGAAGCGGGGACGGGUGAGUAACACGUGGAUAACCUCCUAUAAGACUGGGAUACCUUUGGGAACCCUGACCUAUCCCCGAUACUUCUCGUUUGAUCUUCGCUGCAUUAGCUGGUUGGUAAGGUAACGGCUUACCAAGGCAACGAUGCAUAGCCGACCUGAGAGGGUGAUCGGCCACACUGGAACGGUGACACGGUCCAGACUCCUACGGGAGGCAGCAGUAGGGAAUCUUGCGCAAUGGGCGAAAGCCUGACGGAGCAACGCCGCGUGAGUGAUGAAGGUCUUCGGAUUGUAAAACUCUGUUAUUAGGGAAGCGGUACCUAAUGAGAAAGCAACGGCUAACUACGUGCCAGCAGCCGCGGUAAUUC
rnacentral:rRNA from 1 species